rnacentral:lncRNA from 1 species
AGUCUCUACCAGUUAGUUGCAGGAUUCUUCUCAUCAGCCCCUACUCCAAACUUCUCCAGCCCAGGGGCUGGGCAGCCAUUCCCUCAUGCACCCUUCCCUAUAUAAUCCAGCCAUUUUGGUUACCUGGCCCUUUUGGUCUGCCCUUUACCCUCCUGGCCUCUUGAUCUCCUGGUCUCCUGGCUCUCCUUGCCUCCUCCACUUUCCUCACAUGGCCCCUGCUCAGCUACUCUUUUUCUAAAGAAGAAGAAGAAGAAGAAGAAGAAGAAGAAGAAGAAGAAGAAGAAGAAGAAGAAGAAGAAGAAGAAGAAGAAAUGAAAGAAAGAAAUAGAGAGAGAGAAAGAAAGAAAGAAAGAGAGAGAGAGAGAGAAAGAAAGAAAGAAAGAAAGAAAGAAAGAAAGAAAGAAAGAAAGAAAGAAAAUUACUUUUCAAGUCUUAGUAUCAUGUAUAAUCUGGCUAUUUGGGGAGGAAAAGGUAAAACUGAGAAGGGGAUAAGACAAGGAAUUCUAUUUCUAGCUAGCUGGGAACUCAUUUUAUCUUCUCAAUGGGUGGGGGCAUGCUAUCCUGUAGAGUCCUGUUUAUAUUUCAAAUAACAAAACACUCCUUCCUUGGAAAAAAAA